rnacentral:rRNA from 2 species
GAUGAACGCUGGCGGCGUGCCUAAUACAUGCAAGUCGAGCGAACAGACGAGGAGCUUGCUCCUCUGACGUUAGCGGCGGACGGGUGAGUAACACGUGGAUAACCUACCUAUAAGACUGGGAUAACUUCGGGAAACCGGAGCUAAUACCGGAUAAUAUAUUGAACCGCAUGGUUCAAUAGUGAAAGACGGUUUUGCUGUCACUUAUAGAUGGAUCCGCGCCGCAUUAGCUAGUUGGUAAGGUAACGGCUUACCAAGGCAACGAUGCGUAGCCGACCUGAGAGGGUGAUCGGCCACACUGGAACUGAGACACGGUCCAGACUCCUACGGGAGGCAGCAGUAGGGAAUCUUCCGCAAUGGGCGAAAGCCUGACGGAGCAACGCCGCGUGAGUGAUGAAGGUCUUCGGAUCGUAAAACUCUGUUAUUAGGGAAGAACAAAUGUGUAAGUAACUAUGCACGUCUUGACGGUACCUAAUCAGAAAGCCACGGCUAACUACGUGCCAGCAGCCGCGGUAAUACGUAGGUGGCAAGCGUUAUCCGGAAUUAUUGGGCGUAAAGCGCGCGUAGGCGGUUUUUUAAGUCUGAUGUGAAAGCCCACGGCUCAACCGUGGAGGGUCAUUGGAAACUGGAAAACUUGAGUGCAGAAGAGGAAAGUGGAAUUCCAUGUGUAGCGGUGAAAUGCGCAGAGAUAUGGAGGAACACCAGUGGCGAAGGCGACUUUCUGGUCUGUAACUGACGCUGAUGUGCGAAAGCGUGGGGAUCAAACAGG